UGUGAGUUGCUGUGUGUCAGUGUGUUGUCUGUCAGUUUGUGAGCUGCUGCGUGCCAGUGUGUGUUGUCUGUCAGUUUGUGAGUUGCUGUGUGUGUUGUGUGUCAGUGUGUCAGUUGCUGUGUGACAGUGUGUUGUCUGUCAGUUUGUGAGUUGCUGUGUGACAGUGUGUUGUCUGUUAGUUUGUGAGCUGCUGCGUGCCAGUGUGUGUUGUCUGUCAGUUUGUGAGUCCCUGUGUGACAGUGUGUGUUGUCUGUUUGUUUGUGAGUUGCUGUGUGUGUUGUCUCUUGGUGUAGAGUUUCAGAGACAGCAGCUGCUAUGUGAAGACCUGUGUGUCUAUUUUGGGAUUCCUGCCUGGUCUCUGUGACCUUUAUUAUCACAGAGGGAGAGAGAGGAGCACACUGGCGAUGUGGCACUGAGAGAGCGUCUGGAAACAGAGGGAGGAAUCGCUGAAGGAGUCAGACAGAGACCCGGAGGCUGAGGUUUCUUGCUUUCAGAGUAGCCUGCACUAUUCACAGUGGGUUUUAAUUAGUCAGUUAAUGAAUUGCGAUUUGAAAAUGGACUCACCAGGUGUGGACAGAGACACAAGGGAGCCUACAGCACCUGCUCAGGAGGAUUCAGAGAGCUUGGAACUGACCAACCAAUCUGAAGAGAACCGGGACAAGGAGGAAAGUGGAGCUGGAGAAGGAGGUGUGUCCACAAAGCUGGAAGAUGGGGAUGUGGUCGUGAGAGGAGCUUCUUCUGAAGACAAAGAGGAGGUUGAGGAGUCCCCAGAAGAAACGGUGUCCCUAGGAGGAGAAGGUGAGGCUGUGAAUAGCCAAGACUCCGAAGAACACGUAGAUGAAAAAGAGGAAAGGAUCUGCACACCGGAGCGUGAGUCUAGUGUCCAUCAAGAUCUGCCUUCCUCACAAGAGCACAGUGCCGGCGAGGGCAAGGUGACGCCCACAGCAGACACAGCCAUGAGCGCAGCCAGCGGAGGGAGUGAGACUCCAGAAGAAGGGGAGGUGCCUUCGGAGCACAUGGCCACGCCCACUUCAGACUCAGCAGUGGCUUCGUUCAGUGGAAGGGGCGUGGCUCAAGGCGAAGAGGAGGUAGCCUGUGAGCUCAAGGCCACACCUACAUCAGACACAGAUGGGGUCUCAGUCAGUGGAGGGGGCGUGGCUCAGGGGGAAGAGGAGGUACCCUGUGAGCUCAAGGCCACACCUACAUCAGACACAGAUGGGGUCUCAGUCAGUGGAGGGGGCGUGGCUCAGAGGGAAGGGGAAGUACCCCCGGAGGAGAUGGCAACGCCUACAACAGAGAUGGCUGUGGCUUUGGUCCGUGGAAAGGGCGGAGCUACGGAUGAAGGGGAGGUACCCUCGGAGCACAUGGCCACUCCUACAACAGACACAGCUGUGGC
rnacentral:lncRNA from 1 species